rnacentral:rRNA from 2 species
CAGUACAAGCCUAAUUAAGGUGAAACCGCGAAAGGCUCAUUAAAUCAGUUAUGGUUCCUUAGAUCGUACGCACAUUUACUUGAAUAACUGUGGUAAUUCUAGAGCUAAUACAUGCAAACAGAGCUCCGACCAGAGAUGGAAGGAGUGCUUUUAUUAGAUCAAAACCAAUCGGCGGCAGUCACUUCGGUGUCUGUUCGUCGCCCUAUUUGGUGACUCUGAAUAACUUUAUGCUGAUCGCACGGUCUUGCACCGGCGACGCAUCUAUCAAAUGUCUGCCUUAUCAACUGUCGAUGGUAGGUUCUGCGCCUACCAUGGUUGUAACGGGUAACGGGGGAUCAGGGUUCGAUCCCGGAGAGGGAGCCUGAGAAACGGCUACCACAUCCAAGGAAGGCAGCAGGCGCGCAAAUUACCCACUCCCGGCACGGGGAGGUAGUGACGAAAAAUAACGAUAAGAGACUCUUCCGAGGCCCCGUAAUCGGAAUGAGUACACUUUAAGUCCUUUAACCAGGAACCAUUGGAGGGCAAGUCUGGUGCCAGCAGCUGCGGUAAUUCCAGCUCCAAUAGCGUAUAUUAAAGUUGUUGCGGUUAAAAAGCUCGUAGUUGAAUCUGUGUCCCGUGCUGUCGGUUCACCGCCCGCGGUGCUAACUGGCACGUCUCACGGGACGUCCUGCCGGUGG